UAGGGAAUCUUCCGCAAUGGACGCAAGUCUGACGGAGCAACGCCGCGUGAGUGAAGAAGGAUUUCGGUUCGUAAAACUCUGUUGUUAGAGAAGAACAGCGCAUAGAGUAACUGUUAUGCGUGUGACGGUAUCUAACCAGAAAGCCACGGCUAACUACGUGCCAGCAGCCGCGGUAAUACGUAGGUGGCAAGCGUUGUCCGGAUUUAUUGGGCGUAAAGCGAGCGCAGGCAGUCAAUUAAGUCUGAUGUGAAAGCCCCCGGCUCAACCGGGGAGGGUCAUUGGACACUGGUUGACUUGAGUGCAGAAGAGGAGAGUGGAAUUCCAUGUGUAGCGGUGAAAUGCGUAGAUAUAUGGAGGAACACCAGUGGCGAAGGCGACUCUCUGGUCUGUAACUGACGCUGAGGCUCGAAAGCGUGGGUAGCAAACAGG
rnacentral:rRNA from 1 species